ensembl:lncRNA
AUCUGAUCUCUUGGGUCCUGGUGGGUGGAGUUAAAAGCCAGCUGGACAUGAUUGGGAUCAAUUGUCUAUACCUGGUGUGAAUUACUAGAAGUGCACCAAAUGAAAGCUGAUAGAAGUUUUCAACAGCAUUGAGCAAGAUUUCCAGCUAUCCCUAACUUUAAGGAGAAUCCCGUAUUUCCUGAAUAUGUUGAAUGAGUUAGGGAUAAGCCCCCCUGUACUACUGAUAUAUCUCAAGGCCCUGCUUUGGAAGACCACAUCAUCACCUCAAGACUUUCCACGAAAUUAGAUUUAUUGCCAUUGGUGCAAUGAAUUAUAGAGGUCCACAGAGCACCAGAGUGGGUGGUCAAGUGGAUGAAGAAGGAGAGGAACUAGUCAGAUUCAGGAGCAGUCUCAGUGAGGGAGAAAGUACUGAAGAUGUCAGUCUGCUGUGUUAGUUUUUUCCUUGUAGGUUGUAUUUUAUCUUUGGAGUCAUGUCUUGUAGGAAUGAUCUUUUCCCCAGAAGAUCAUUCUUGGUAUGGAUGAGAUGCAUCUUUCAAAGAUUAUUCUUCCAAAAGAAACAGGAUACCACUAAGGAGUAUAAAAUUAUUCAAUCCAUUUGAAAAGUAUUUUAAUGGAGGAACCUGAAGCAGUCACGUGUUUUGGAUUACAUUUAAAAUCAAUUAUGAUAUCUUUUGUACAAAACCUAGCUAAAUUACUUUGGCUGGGAAUUGGAUGCUUCAGAAUAUAACACUCACUGAGAUAUUGCAGAUGUUGAAGUAUAGAUGUAUAAAACCGUACAGUAUAAAGAAUAUACUGUGUGUGGAUAAUCAGAGCGUUUUUACAAUCUGUUCACAUGCUGCCACAGAGAAGAGUUAUUCAUUACAAUAGAAAAGCUGAGACAAAGGGGAAAAGGAAUGCCUAAAUAGCUGCAGGCAUAAAACAGCAACAAAUGUGCUACAAACAAUUCAGAUUUUUUGUAUUCAGUAGUCUAAAACAAGAAGGAACAACAAAUGAAGCCAAAGACACCGAAGUCUCUCUCAGAUGCAGUUUCCUACCAGAAUGCAGAGGUAUUUCCAUGUCACGUAAAUUACCAGUAUUUAGUUUUAUUGGUGAUAAGAUUUUUUUAUUCUGGGUAAGGUGCUCUGUCAGCUGCUGGUAGCAAAACACUAUUAUUGUUAAUAAUAAUCAUUAUAAUUUCUCGUAUUUCCUACAGCCCUCUUCCCCAUUGCUGUGUUUUCUCAGCUAAACAAGUUUUAUAACUAUUCUAUGUUUUUCAGAGACUCAAAAAUGCAAGAACAAGCCAACCCAGAGCAGAAAUUUCUAUAAAUAAUUAGAAAUGGCAAGUUUAUGUGACAAUAGAACCACUGUUAAUUUUUUGCUGAGGUUACAGUUGUGACAUUUGGGGUAGAUUUUGCUCCAAGAUAUCCCUGAGAUAGUGUACUACCAUGUCUUUAUAUGUGGCUGUGAUCAAAGACUUGGGAUGUUUACAUGAUCUAUAUCUUCCCAUAUAAUUAUCUCUAAUGACGUACUUCAUUCUUCCAUUUACUUCAGUAAGCUGUAACAGAGUCCCAAAAAUUUUCUCAUUGUGUCUAACACGGUUGGUCAAUAAGAGGUAUCAUGUCUCACAAUG